rnacentral:rRNA from 1 species
GAAUUCAACUCCUACGGGAGGCAGCAGUGGGGAAUAUUGCACAAUGGGCGAAAGCCUGAUGCAGCGACGCCGCGUGAGGGAUGACGGCCUUCGGGUUGUAAACCUCUUUCAGCAGGGAAGAAGCGAAAGUGACGGUACCUGCAGAAGAAGCGCCGGCUAACUACGUGCCAGCGGCCGCGGUAAUACGUAGGGCGCAAGCGUUGUCCGGAAUUAUUGGGCGUAAAGAGCUCGUAGGUGGUUCGUCGCGUCUGCUGUGAAAGUCCGAGGCUUAACCUCGGAUCUGCAGUGGGUACGGGCGGACUAGAGUGCGGUAGAGGAGAUCGGAAUUCCUGGUGUAGCGGUGGAAUGCGCAGAUAUCAGGAGGAACACCGGUGGCGAAGGCGGAUCUCUGGGCCGUAACUGACGCUGAGGAGCGAAAGCAUGGGGAGCGAACAGGAUUAGAUACCCUAGUAGUCCAGGCGUU